rnacentral:rRNA from 1 species
UACCAUGGUUCUCACGGGUAACGGAGAAUUAGGGUUCGAUUCCGGAGAAGGAGCCUGAGAAACGGCUACUACAUCUAAGGAAGGCAGCAGGCGCGUAAAUUACCCAAUCCUGACUCAGGGAGGUAGUGACAAGAUAUAACGACGCGACUAAAAAUCGCGAUUGUAGUGAGGGUAUUCUAAACCGAACCACUAGUACGAUUGGAGGGCAAGUCUGGUGCCAGCAGCCGCGGUAAUUCCAGCUCCAAUAGCGUAUAUUAAAGUUGUUGCAGUUAAAAAGCUCGUAGUUGGAUUUCAAGGGAAGUAACGUGUUCUCACGUUGCCCCCUACCAGUCUUUGACUGUUACUGCGAGAAAAUUAGAGUGUUUCAAGCAGGCUGUUGCAGGAAUACAUUAGCAUGGAAUAACGAGUGUGUCUAGAAUCUUGGUUAAUUCUAGAUUACGAUUAAUAGGGACAGUUGGGGGCAUUAGUAUUUAAUUGUCAGAGGUGAAAUUCUUGGAUUUGUUAAAGACUAACGUAU